GACGAACGCUGGCGGCGUGCUUAACACAUGCAAGUCGAACGGAAAGGCCAUGCUUUUGUGGGGUGCUCGAGUGGCGAACGGGGGAGUAACACGUGAGUAACCUGCCCUUGUCUUUGGGAUAACUUCAGGAAACUGGGGCUCAUACCGGAUAGGAUCUCCUGCUGCAUGGGGGGGGUUGGAAAGUUUCGGCGGUUGUGGAUGGACUCGCGGCUUAUCAGCUUGUUGGUGGGGUAGUGGCUUACCAAGGCUUUGACGGGUAGCCGGCCUGAGAGGGGGACCGGCCACAUUGGGACUGCGAUACGGACCAGACUCCUACGGGAGGCAGCAGUGGGGAAUAUUGCACAAUGGGCGGAAGCCUGAUGCAGCAACGCCGCGUGCGGGAUGACGGCCUUCGGGUUGUAAACCGCUUUCGCCUGUGACGAAGCGUGAGUGACGGUAAUGGGUAAAGAAGCACCGGCUAACUACGUG
rnacentral:rRNA from 1 species